CAAAUCAUCAUCGCCCCUUAUGACCGUGGGCUACACACGUGCUACAAGUGGGCGGUACGAAAGGGUCGCGAACCCGCGAGGGGGAGCCAAUCCCAAAAAGCCGCUCUCAGUUCGGAUUGCAGGCUGCAACUCGCCUGCAUGAAGCCGGAAUCGCUAGUAAUCGCGGAUCAGCAUGCCGCGGUGAAUACGUUCCCGGGCCUU
rnacentral:rRNA from 1 species